AUGACAGAGAAUGAGGGUGAGGAAAGGGUAUUAUGUUUGUUUUGGGAAGAUGGCAGGAGUGAAGGGAGGUGGGGUGUAAGAUAAUGAAAUCCACAUCUAUAAUAAAAGAAAUAUGUGUCUAAAAUUGAUAAAGCAAGAGAGAGCAGUAUAUCAGUUAGAAAUACGGAAGUUAGCUGCCAAAAUAAACAGUUAAAAGAAAAAAGUGGUUGUCUCUAAUCUUGAGGAGGAGAGAGAAUGGGAAGGGGUGGACUAGGAAACCCUAUUUUUUGUAAUAAGCAGAGUAACCACGUAAUUGACUGUUCAAACCACUAACAUGUCUGAGAGCCAAAGCGGGUAUUGUUAACAACUAUGCCAAGGCAACAGGCUUAAACUGGAAUUCUCUCAGGCAAACUGGGACUAUAUGCACCCUAAUUAUAAGCCUCUAGUUUGAUGUCUAACAAACUCAGUAUUCUACUUUGAUAAAACACUUAGGAUCAGAUAGGCAGCUGUUUUAAACUACUUAAUACUUUCUUACAUUGAAAUACAGUGUUAGGGAAUUUUGAAUUUUUUAACUCUUCCUCUCCCCAAUCACCUAGAACCAUAAAUUAUCCCAACACUACACCUUCAAUGGGCAUGACAGCCAGCCAGCCAGCCCUUCAGUACAACUCAGUUACUUCAUGUAUGAAAUAGAAAACAGGCCUGCCUAUCAAACAAGGAUGUUGGGAAGAUUUUCUUAUAAUAUUAUGUAAAAGCCCCCAAAUUUAGGCAACUACCUCAAACUCAUUGACACCUUUUAAAUUGGGGCAUAAAUGUCUUCAGAUUACUUCAGUCUAGUCCAGAGGUUAAACUUUUCUGGGUCUUGGAGAACUCUGAGAAUUCAAGUAAGGAUAUGGGAAAAAAAAUUCAUUUUCUACAAAAUGCAUAAACUUUUGGCAUUCUGUAUAUUUUCUGGGGGAUCACGGAACAUCUGAGACCCAUUCGUGGUUAAGAACUCCCACUCUGGCCUUUUGUUUGGACUCUCUGAAGGGAAAGAAAAAUCAUGGGCAAGACCUAAGCCCUUAAGCACUUUGUCAGGUGCAUUUUAAGCAGAUGGCUCUCUAAAGCGGGUAACCAUAAAAGUAAACGAAGGUCCAUCAAACUGCAGCUGCUAACCCAAUUUUUUCAGAAUAAAAUGCUUCCUACUAAAUGCACUGAUGUCCCCCCUUGUUGAUAUAAAUCUAAACCAAUAGUUCUUAAAAAUGCAGACUCUAGCCAAGCAUUUUUUCCAGGCCAAAUCUGAGCCAUAAAUGAUAAGUCGGGGAAUGAAAUCACAAGCACUAGAAGAAUUCCAAGGAGAUGAGGUAGAGGAAAGCACAGGUUUGCCUUCCUAUCUCAGGGGCUGUAAGACCUAGAAAACACACACACACACACACACACACACACACACACACACACACACACAAACAGACACACAGACACACACACUUUCCUAACAGGGUAGAACAGCUUUAAGGUAAACAACCCUAGGAACUGUUUAUGGUUUCAUGAGAAGUAAAAUGCAAUGAAACUCAAAACUAGAAAUAAAUGAAGAUAAUCUAUUGGCUUGUAUGUUUAUAGUCAGGUAAAUUCUCUAAUUCUCUCUCUCUCUCUCUCUCUCUCUCUCUCUGAUAUAGCAUUCCCCAAAUACCUGUUAAUCUUUCUAUUUAUCACUUAAGUAAGCAAACAGGGAACACUCCGUUCAGCUACAAGGCUUGGUCAAGCCCCAGUUUGUUGCCAAAGUUUGGAUGACCAAGAGUUGAAAAAACAUACCAAGUGUUUUGGAGUGUCAUAUCAAGAAGAAAUGCCAUCUGAAAUAAUGCGUCUGGCACACUGCCUAAAUUUAACAUUGGGAAUAACCUGCAUUUUCAAUCUCCAGGCUCUUAGUGCUGAAAAUUUGAUGCCUCCUUCUUCAUUAGAGACUGUCCAAGUUCAAGACUCAGGAAUUAGCCUUGUGUUACAAAUUUGUGUUGGUAUCAGUUGGCAGAUGUUCAAAGCAGAGUUAGAAGCGCUGGUGGUUUUACUUCUGGCUGGACUACAACUGUCAACACCAUGGAGAAAGUGGGAUGGGAGAGCAGAGCUGGGAGUACAAUUCAUGAUCUUGAUGAUGCUAAGAAGUUGCAUCUGCUAAGAAGCCCUCUCUCUCAGAGCACACUUUAUUGGGAAGAGAGCAGUGCACGUGACCAACAUAUGAAGAGAGCCAGAUGGGCGUCCUACACAUCAUGCUCAAAA